rnacentral:misc_RNA from 1 species
CUGCCAUCAAGUUGAUUGAACUUUAUGCUGUGUUCCAAAACUCCAACCGACCGUGACCGCUGAGCGAAGUAUCCAUGAUUUGGAUCAUACAAUGCGGAAUGUAUGAAAUCGCGAACAAGAAUCGGCUCCUCACCCACAAUGAGAGUAGAAAAAAAGCGAUCGAGAUAGAAGAGAGCACGAUUGUUGACAUGAAAUCACUCUCGG